GGGGCACUGGUGCACACGAGGUGGGGUCUCUGUCCAGCCUGGGUAGGCAUGAGCUGAGCUCGAGCGAGGGCCCUGCCUGCCCACAGCACGGGGCCCCAGCGCUCUAACCCGGCCAUUUGCCCGUGCAGCCUGUUGCGCUGUCCCCACCUGCGGGGCCUGCAGAUGGCUGCGUGUGGCUCACUAACCUAAAGCAUGUGUUUCUUCCCUCUGCUGUCCACCGCUCUGGUAGGCACUUACCUGGGUCUGGCAAACCACGGACAGACCAGGCACAUGGGACCAAGCCGGAACCUCCUGCUCAACGGGAAGUCUUACCCCACCAAAGUGCGCCUGAUCCGGGGGGGCUCCCUGCCCCCAGUCAAGCGGCGGCGGAUGAACUGGAUCGACGCCCCGGAUGACGUGUUCUACAUGGCCACAGAGGAGACCAGGUGGGGCCUUCCCAGGGCAGGCGGGAGGGCUCGGCACAGCGUCCCGGGCCUCACCACCACCUGUGCCCACAGGAAGAUCCGCAAGCUGCUCUCAUCCUCGGAAACCAAGCGUGCUGCCCGCCGGCCCUACAAGCCCAUCGCCCUGCGCCAGAGCCAGGCCCUGCCGCUGCGGCCACCGCCACCUGCGCCCGUCAACGACGAGCCCAUCGUCAUCG
rnacentral:sRNA from 1 species